rnacentral:misc_RNA from 1 species
CAGCAUACCAAUAACGCAACCACAAAAAUUGAAGAAGAAAGCUUUUGAAUAUGUUUUUUAGAAGAAGGUUUCUUUCUUUCCCCAUGGUAAUUGGAGCUGUAGUGAUUGGAGUUGGAGUUGUUUCUGGAAAAGCAAUAUUUGGGCCCCCACUUGAUGAGUACUGGAAAAAGAAGCUUCAGGAAGAUGCAGCUGCAAAAGACGCGGACACAAGCUCUACCUAGUAUACUGCAAUUGAAUUUCUCAUUAAUCCAUGCCAGUGUGAUUUGGGAAGUGGGAAAUCAUCACUUCCAGUUUGCUGACUGAAGAGGCAUACCAUGCAUAUUCGCUGCAUUCGAUACAAUAUAGAAUUUGGAUACAUCUCGGGGGUAUGGGGUCCCAGCUGCAUGCUUGGUAGGAUAGAAGGAACUCGGUUCAUUGCAUUAUUUGGAUGUUUUCUAGUCAAAGCAGAAAAAGCAUGGUGAAAAAAACCUUAUCUGCUGAAUGAUUUCCUGAGCGUCGCAUCCCAAUUAAUGUUGUUAUUGAAUUUGAAUUUUGAUAGUAUUACAAUGGUAGAAAGUGUUAAAAGUUUACCGAAUGCAGAACCUGAUCGACUAUUGCAUUUAUGUUU